UGCAGAGACUGACUGUUAACGGGUGUUAAUGGGUGAGGGCUUCCUCCUUUCCAUCAUGAGGCAUUGUGGAAUUACAUAGUGGUUAAUGGUUGUAUAACUAUGGCUAUACUAAAAAUUACUGAAUAUGCUAAAAUGAUAAGCAGAAGCUUAGAAAAAUUAAAUAACAACCAAGAUCAUUAAUCUAGUAAUCAGUAAAGCCACAAUUCACACCCAGGUCUCCAGAGUCCAAAAUCAAGAACAAGAACUAUUGCUACAUAUGAAACCAGAGUCCUGGGAUUACAGGUGUGCACCAUCACACCUGGCUGGCAAUUUCUGUCCAAUAAAAGCAUUAUUCAUCCUCAUCUACCUUGUCCACUGGAACUGGUACUAUGCAACCUCGAGCUCUUCUCCAGAGUCAAAAUUACCACAGAAGAAAGGUCCCUUCGGGGCAGCGUUACCUCUGUGGAAGACCUCUGGAUAUUACAGCAUCUGGGCCAAAUGUCAAUGUUAAAGCCUCAGCGAGGGGAUCUCAGAGUCACCAAGAGAGAGAAGAAUGUGUCCCAGCUAGCUGGCCAGUCCCAUGAGGACAGACAAAAGCAAGAGUUGUCCUGCUAAGCUUAGGACAGAAGACAGCCCAGCUGACAACACACGCAUGAGUAAGCCCGGUCUAGAUCAAUCCAACCAAUUCCAAGAGGAAUGACCUUCAAUCACGAGGUACCAUUAUUAUAAUUUUGUUUAUGUCAG